CUCUCAAUCAAGCUCACAAGAAGAACCAGGAUCGGAUAAAGUUAGAGGAUGGUCAAGUUAAGUUGCAAUCCCGAUUAGAACAAGAAGAAAAAGCUAAAGCUGCUUUGUUAGGAAGAAUUCAACGGCUGACUAAACUGAUUUUGGUCUCCACAAAAGCAUCACAUUCAACCAGAUUUCCUAAUAGGCCUGGUCCUCGUAGAAGACAUUCCUUUGGAGAAGAGGAGCUGGCAUACUUCCAUACAAGAGGCGGGAUUUAAUCUUGAAUGAGGAAAAUAUUGAUAUGUUAAUCUGGAGGGAAAUGUUGAAACAACUGUUGAUUCUUUGAAGGAUGAAAAAAAGACAGAGAAACAUGGACUACUAAACUGGUUGAAGUUACGUUUUUAGAUAUGGAGAUUGAGAGAAGUGGAGAAAAUAAAAUUCUUGGACUGAGAUUCACUUCAAGUCACAAGCGUUCAAAGAGUGAAGCAUUUUAUGGAAAGCAAGAAGCCAGUUGCAUCCAUCUGCCGUGGCCAACAGAUUUUAGCUACUGAAGAUGUGCUCAAGGUACUCUUAGAUCAUGUUUGAUAUAUUUCACAUUUGUUUCUCAACGACCACUGAAGUUGAGCUGUGUAGGCGAAACGUGUGUAGUGUCUACAUUGAUUUUAUUCUCAAAUUAGCAUGAUGUAAACUGUUCACAUUAAUUUGUUGACGCUUUAAACACAACUAAAUUUGGGCAGAUAUAC